CGCUGGCGGCGUGCCUAAUACAUGCAAGUCGAACGGUCUUUCUAUGGAAGCUUGCUUCCACUGAGAAGAUAGUGGCGAACGGGUGAGUAACACGUGGGUAACCUGCCCAUAAGAGGGGGAUAACAUCCGGAAACGGGUGCUAAUACCGCAUAGUUUUCUUGAUCGCAUGAUUGAGAAAGGAAAGGCGGCCUUUGUGCUGUCGCUUAUGGAUGGACCCGCGGCGUAUUAGUUAGUUGGUGAGGUAACGGCUCACCAAGACGAUGAUACGUAGCCGACCUGAGAGGGUGAUCGGCCACAUUGGGACUGAGACACGGCCCAAACUCCUACGGGAGGCAGCAGUAGGGAAUCUUCCGCAAUGGACGAAAGUCUGACGGAGCAACGCCGCGUGAGUGAAGAAAGGUUUUCGGAUCGUAAAACUCUGUUGUCAGAGAAGAACAAGUUGGAGAGUAACUGCUCCAGCCUUGACGGUAUCUGACCAGAAAGCCACGGCUAACUACGUGCCAGCAGCCGC
rnacentral:rRNA from 1 species